rnacentral:siRNA from 1 species
UGAAAAAGUUGGAAAAGUGCCUC